rnacentral:lncRNA from 1 species
UAGUAGUAAAUAUUAAUAGUUAUAGGAAUAUUAAUUCAUUCCCACAACUUGCUUCUACAUAUCAAUGAAAAUUAGGCAAUCCAAAAUACACACAAUUAACAAUUAAACAUAUAUACACACAAGAUCAAGAUACAAAAAGAAAAUAAAAUAAAAAUUAGUAUCUGGGAAGCCCACUUAGGCCACCUUUUGAUGCAAAUCCAGUCAUGAAUAUCACAUAAGAUUCUUUAAGGCUCAAUUGUGAUAUAAAAAUCCUCCCCAUUUUAGCCUUCAACUGAAUCUUCUUCACCUUCUUCGAGAUGCUUCUAUGCUUCUCCGCUAGAGCCCCGUUUUCUUCACUAAUCUCCGUUUCUUCCUUGAUGGUCUCGAGCUUCAUCUUCAGUAUCUCUUCGAUCUCCAUUCUCGAUUCUCUUCUCGAGCUCUUUUUCACCCACCACAUUUUUCGACACCCUUUUCUCAUUCUACGUUAUUGCGAAAAAAUCCCCCUUCAAAUUAAUAUGGAUAGUGCAUUAUAUAUAUAAUUUUGUUAGAUGCUUUGUGAUAUUUAAGUAUAUAUAUUAGGUGAAAGAAACAUAGUUGGG